rnacentral:rRNA from 1 species
AAAGCGGGUGAAAAGCCCGCUCGCCGGAAGACCAAGGGUUCCUGUCCAACGUUAAUCGGGGCAGGGUGAGUCGACCCCUAAGGCGAGGCCGAAAGGCGUAGUCGAUGGGAAACGGGUUAAUAUUCCCGUACUUGGUGUUACUGCGAAGGGGGGACGGAGAAGGCUAUGUUGGCCGGGCGACGGUUGUCCCGGUUUAAGCGUGUAGGUGUGUGUUCCAGGUAAAUCCGGUUCACUUUAACACUGAGGCGUGAUGACGAGGCACUACGGUGCUGAAGCAACAAAUGCCCUGCUUCCAGGAAAAGCCUCUAAGCAUCAGGUAACAUCAAAUCGUACCCCAAACCGACACAGGUGGUCAGGUAGAGAAUACCAAGGCGCUUGAGAGAACUCGGGUGAAGGAACUAGGCAAAAUGGUGCCGUAACUUCGGGAGAAGGCACGCUGACACGUAGGUGAAGUGAUUUACUCAUGGAGCUGAAGUCAGUCGAAGAUACCAGCUGGCUGCAACUGUUUAUUAAAAACACAGCACUGUGCAAACACGAAAGUGGACGUAUACGGUGUGACGCCUGCCCGGUGCCGGAAGGUUAAUUGAUGGGGUCAGCGCAAGCGAAGCUCCUGAUCGAAGCCCCGGUAAACGGCGGCCGUAACUAUAACGGUCCUAAGGUAGCGAAAUUCCUUGUCGGGUAAGUUCCGACCUGCACGAAUGGCGUAAUGAUGGCCAGGCUGUCUCCACCCGAGACUCAGUGAAAUUGAACUCGCUGUGAAGAUGCAGUGUACCCGCGGCAAGACGGAAAGACCCCGUGAACCUUUACUAUAGCUUGACACUGAACAUUGAGCCUUGAUGUGUAGGAUAGGUGGGAGGCUUUGAAGUGUGGACGCCAGUCUGCAUGGAGCCGGCCUUGAAAUACCACCCUUUAAUGUUUGAUGUUCUAACGUGGACCCGUGAUCCGGGUUGCGGACAGUGUCUGGUGGGUAGUUUGACUGGGGCGGUCUCCUCCUAAAGAGUAACGGAGGAGCACGAAGGUUGGCUAAUCCUGGUCGGACAUCAGGAGGUUAGUGCAAUGGCAUAAGCCAGCUUGACUGCGAGCGUGACGGCGCGAGCAGGUGCGAAAGCAGGUCAUAGUGAUCCGGUGGUUCUGAAUGGAAGGGCCAUCGCUCAACGGAUAAAAGGUACUCCGGGGAUAACAGGCUGAUACCGCCCAAGAGUUCAUAUCGACGGCGGUGUUUGGCACCUCGAUGUCGGCUCAUCACAUCCUGGGGCUGAAGUAGGUCCCAAGGGUAUGGCUGUUCGCCAUUUAAAGUGGUACGCGAGCUGGGUUUAGAACGUCGUGAGACAGUUCGGUCCCUAUCUGCCGUGGGCGCUGGAGAACUGAGGGGGGCUGCUCCUAGUACGAGAGGACCGGAGUGGACGCAUCACUGGUGUUCGGGUUGUCAUGCCAAUGGCACUGCCCGGUAGCUAAAUGCGGAAGAGAUAAGUGCUGAAAGCAUCUAAGCACGAAACUUGCCCCGAGAUGAGUUCUCCCUGAGACUUUAGGUCUCCUGAAGGAACGUUGAAGACGACGACGUUGAUAGGCCGGGUGUGUAAGCGCAGCGAUGCGUUGAGCUAACCGGUACUAAUGAACCGUGAGGCUUAACCUU